rnacentral:lncRNA from 1 species
CGGCUGUUGAGCUCCUUCUGUGUUCCAGUGGAACAUCUGUGUUUUACUGUGCAAAUGAGAAUGGCCAGGAUGUUACAUACAGCUGGACUGUCAGUAACAGCAUCCUGGGAGAACGGACUGUAUUCAGUAACAGUUGUAAAUAUAUAUCUUUGAAGAACAUGUCUGGAACUGUCCGCUGCUCUGUGGAGAAGAAGGGCUGCAGUGCACAGAGUGAACCUCAGAACUUUGACUGCACAGAACACCCACAUGAGACAAGACAUCCCUGGGGUGUCAUUGCUCUGAUCGUUGUCUGCGCACUGCUGCUUUGUCUGACCAUGGCUGCACUUCUGAUCUGUGUCCGAAGAAGCUACAAAACGCAUCCUCUGAGUAAGCAAAGAAUUUUGGUUUCUCUGUGUGUGUGUGCGUGUGUGUGUGUGUGUGUGUGUGUGUGUGUGUGUGUGUGUGUGUGUGUGUGUGUGUGUAACUGUGUGUCUUUGCUUACAGUAUAUCUGUAUGUUUCUGUUCUAGAUGAGAAUUCUGCACAAUCCAGUUCCUCACCGGAGGCCACCGAUCACGAGCUAGUUUUUUAUACGCAAGUCAGACUCUCACGAUGACGCCUGUGAGCUUUUAAUUGGGCAAAAUAAAUGGUUGACAUAUUUUAUGAUUUUAUCGAGG